rnacentral:rRNA from 1 species
UAGGGAAUCUUCCGCAAUGGACGCAAGUCUGACGGAGCAACGCCGCGUGAGUGAAGAAGGAUUUCGGUUCGUAAAACUCUGUUGUUAGAGAAGAACAGCGCAUAGAGUAACUGUUAUGCGUGUGACGGUAUCUAACCAGAAAGCCACGGCUAACUACGUGCCAGCAGCCGCGGUAAUACGUAGGUGGCAAGCGUUGUCCGGAUUUAUUGGGCGUAAAGCGAGCGCAGGCGGUCAAUUAAGUCUGAUGUGAAAGCCCCCGGCUCAACCGGGGAGGGUCAUUGGAAACUGGUUGACUUGAGUGCAGAAGAGGAGAGUGGAAUUCCAUGUGUAGCGAUGAAAUGCGUAGAUAUAUGGAGGAACACCAGUGGCGAAGGCGACUCUCUGGUCUGUAACUGACGCUGAGGUUCGAAAGCGUGGGUAGCAAACAGG